GUUCUACUCCCUUCGUUCCACAAUACUUUCCUUCCCUUUGUCAAAAUAUAGAUGUAUCUAGACAUGUUUUAGUAUAUAUGUACAUCCAUUUUUGGACAAAUAGAAGUCAAGUAUUUUGGAACUGAGGGAGUAUAGA
rfam:Triticum aestivum genome assembly, contig: Triticum_aestivum_CS42_TGACv1_scaffold_556157_7AL